UGGGGAAUUUCGGACAAUGGGCGCAAGCCUGAUCCAGCAAUGCCGCGUGCAGGAUGAAGGCCUUCGGGUUGUAACUGCUUUUGUACGGAACGAAAAGCUUCUGGUUAAUACCUGGGAGUCAUGACGGUACCGUAAGAAUAAGCACCGGCUAACUACGUGCCAGCAGCCGCGGUAAUACGUAGGGUGCAAGCGUUAAUCGGAAUUACUGGGCGUAAAGCGUGCGCAGGCGGUGAUGUAAGACGGGUGUGAAAUCCCCGGGCUUAACCUGGGAAUUGCAUUUGUGACUGCAUCGCUGGAGUGCGGCAGAGGGGGAUGGAAUUCCGCGUGUAGCAGUGAAAUGCGUAGAUAUGCGGAGGAACACCGAUGGCGAAGGCAAUCCCCUGGGCCUGCACUGACGCUCAUGCACGAAAGCGUGGGGAGCAAACA
rnacentral:rRNA from 1 species